AUUUGGGGUUACCCCUUCUAUAAACUGCCUGUUCAUAUUCAUCACCCAUUUUUCUACUGGGGCUGCUUUCUUCUUGUUGGUUCACAAGUGUUCCAUAUGUAGUAUGGUAUUUAACCCCUUGUUGGUUUUAGAAAUUGAAGAUAUUUCCCUUUUUCUUUAAUCUACCCAUUAGCUUUGUCCACAGUGUCCUUUGUGGAUCAGAGAUCCUUAAUUUUAAUGGAAUUCUGGCCUGCAGAAUUCUAUUUUUUUUUCUUUUGGUCUGCAGAAUUCUAAAGAUGUCAUCCCAAGAUUUCGUUUCUCUGAUUAUCUAAUCAAACACUAACCUAGGUACUGCAGAGAAGAAACUUUGCUGAUUUAUAUAAGGUUAGGACUUUAAAAUGGAGAUUAUCCUGGAUAAUUUGGGUAAGCCCAAUCUCAUCACUUGAGUCCUUAAAAGCAGUGAAAUGUCUCCAGCUGGCAUCCAAGAGUUGUAGGAGGACAGAUGGAGAAGGAGCAAACAGAGGUGUGAAUCAUGAGAAGGGCUUGCCUGAAUGUUGCCGGCUUGAAAGACUGAGGAAGGAGGCCACGAACCAAGCAUUGGCUAUGGCCUCUAGAAGCUGGGAAGGGCCCCUGGGCUGGUAGCCAGCAAGGAAACAGGGGCCUUAGUCCCACAGUUGCCGGGAACUGAAUUUGGCCAACAACCGGAAGGAGCCCGGAAGCAGAUUCUCUUCCAGAGCUUCCAGAUAAGAGCCCAUACCAGCUGGCACCUUGAUAUUAGCCUGGUGAGAGCCUAAGAAAAGUGCCCAGCUGAGCCCACUGGGUUUGACCUGCAAAACUGUGAGAUAGUAAAUGAGAGUCAAUCAAUUUGUGAUAAUUUGUAUGGCAGCAAGAGGAAACUAAUAGAGAAAUCAUACUUGUCAAUCUUUUGCCUUAUGGUUUAUGUGUCUGGAUUUUUUUUUCAAGUUUUUUCUUACCCCUGUGCAUGCAUGAAUUUUCAGCCUUGUAGGGUGUUAUUGCCCCUGCCAUGAGGGUGAAAAUUGGUUCUUGGGAGGUGAAAAAAACCCAACUCUUUAAAGCACAGAUAUCUAUAUCUAUAUAUCUAUAUCUAUAUAUGCACAAUAUAUAUAUAAAUAGGAAACCAACAUAACUGGCAUUAACAUCCCCCCUGGAGGGUUACAUUUAGGAAGAAAAAGUCUUAAAUAAAUAAAAUGUAGAAGAAUAUCACUGUGACAUGGGGCCAGUGUUUUGCAACCUUCUUUUAAUUAUCACCUAAAACUCAUAAAAACUCCUAAGAAGUUUUUUUUAAGACUUUUUUUAAUCCCAGGAGAGUAGCUGGGAUUACAGGCGUGUGCCACCAUGCCCGGCUAAUUUUUGUGUUUUUACGAGAGACAGGGUUUCACCACGUUGGCCAGGCUGGUCUCGAACUCCCAACCUCAGGCUUUCCACCCGCCUCGGCCUCCCAAACUCCUGGGAUUACAGGUGUGAGCCAUGGCACUCGGACUUCUUGUGCUUUUUAUUUUGUAUUUUAUUAACAUUUGUGUUUACAAUUUCUUUUGAGGGUCAAGUGGUGAGUUGUGAAGAUGAUGUAUGAUGUGAUGGAGGAAAGUUCCAGGUCUAGACCUACAGACAGUCCUGGUAAAAUCAGUGAUGGAAAAUCACACAUAGGACCUGAAACUGAAGUCAUCAAUGAGGAAUUACAGUUUCUAUGGACUGAAUGCCUGUAUCUCUGGCCAAAAUUCACAUAUGAAGCCCUACCUAACCCCAGUGUAAUAGUAUCUGGAGGUGGGGGCUUUGGGAGGUGAUUAGGUCAUGAGGGUGGACCCCUCAUGAACGGGAUUCGUGUCCUUAUAAAAAUGGACACUGAGAGAGAUAAUCUCUCUCCCUCUGUUACAAGCGAAUACAGCAAGAAGGCAGCCAUUUGCAAACUCGGAAAAGAGUUCUUACCAUCUAUGCUGGCAUCCUGAUCUCAGACUUCCAGCCUCAAGAACUCUGAGGAAUAAAUGCUGUUUAAGCCACCCAAUCUAUGGUAUUUUUGUUAUAGCAGCCAGAAGUGACUAAGGCGACAGUCUUCAGGACACAGAGAAGCUGCUCCUUGUGAUGAAAGCCACUCUUCAAUGAGCUUUGUGCAGGCUGGUGAUCCACGUGGUCCUACCCCCCCUCCACCUGCCCCACCGUGUGUCUCUGUGGCAAACAACUCACAAGUGCAACAGUGGCCUGGCAGACUGAAAACACACUGACCUACAGGCCACUGCUAUUGGUAAGGUAAGAGGCUAUUUUAAAUGGCAAUUGGAAUCUCAAAGAGUGGAAAGCUUUUGUUAAAAAUCCACCCUCAGGCACAGGAAGCAAGAUCUAGUAGCAGAACUUAUUGGCCAGAAAAGGGAAGGCCACACAGGUAGUGAGAACCUAAUAAUGCCUGUAAAAUUUCAGUGAGUAAAUUGCCAGGACAAGAUGCAGUAUGAGGGAUUGGAAAGGUUUCACUCUCAGGGAAUACAAUAUCAAUCAAUGUAUUGAUGGGAUGUCGCAUGAUGCUGAAGAGGUUCAUGCAAUAAACUGAAAAGCAGUAUCUUCUCUGUCUAGGUUGAUGUGUCAACAGAUUUUGCCAAUACACGUCUUAGUAUUUGUAAGGCUUAUAAAUGAUGAAACUCAAGAAUACAUUUUCUGCUGCAAAGAGCUG
rnacentral:lncRNA from 1 species